UACGAAGGGGGCGAGCGUUGUUCGGAAUUACUGGGCGUAAAGGGCGCGUAGGCGGCCAGCACAAGUCAGUUGUGAAAUCUCCGAGCUUAACUCGGAAAGGUCAACUGAUACUGUGCGGCUAGAGUGCGGAAGGGGCAACUGGAAUUCUUGGUGUAGCGGUGAAAUGCGUAGAUAUCAAGAGGAACACCUGCGGCGAAGGCGGGUUGCUGGGCCGACACUGACGCUGAGGCGCGAAAGCCAGGGGAGCGAACGGG
rnacentral:rRNA from 1 species